rnacentral:rRNA from 1 species
UACGGAGGGUGCAAGCGUUGUCCGGAUUUAUUGGGUUUAAAGGGUGCGUAGGCGGCCCAUUAAGUCAGUGGUGAAAGCCCGGGGCUCAACCCCGGAACCGCCAUUGAUACUGGUGGGCUUGAGUAUGGACGAGGUUGGCGGAAUUGAGGGUGUAGCGGUGAAAUGCUUAGAUACCCUCAAGAACACCGAUUGCGUAGGCAGCUAACUAGGCCAUAACUGACGCUGAGGCACGAAAGCGUGGGGAGCAAACAGG